UAGAGUUUGAUCCUGGCUCAGGAUGAACGCUGGCGGCGUGCCUAAUACAUGCAAGUCGAACGCACAGCGAAAGGUGCUUGCACCUUUCAAGUGAGUGGCGAACGGGUGAGUAACACGUGGAUAACCUACCUCAAGGUUGGGGAUAACAUUUGGAAACAGAUGCUAAUACCGAAUAAAACUUAGUAUCGCAUGAUACCAGGUUAAAAGGCGCUACGGCGUCACCUAGAGAUGGAUCCGCGGUGCAUUAGUUAGUUGGUGGGGUAAAGGCUUACCAAGACAAUGAUGCAUAGCCGAGUUGAGAGACUGAUCGGCCACAUUGGGACUGAGACACGGCCCAAACUCCUACGGGAGGCUGCAGUAGGGAAUCUUCCACAAUGGGCGAAAGCCUGAUGGAGCAACGCCGCGUGUGUGAUGAAGGCUUUCGGGUCGUAAAGCACUGUUGUAUGGGAAGAACAGCUAGAGUAGGGAAUGACUUUAGUUUGACGGUACCAUACCAGAAAGGGACGGCUAAAUACGUGCCAGCAGCCGCGGUAAUACGUAUGUCCCGAGCGUUAUCCGGAUUUAUUGGGCGUAAAGCGAGCGCAGACGGUUAAUUAAGUCUGAUGUGAAAGCCCGGAGCUCAACUCCGGAAAGGCAUUGGAAACUGGUUAACUUGAGUGCAGUAGAGGUAAGUGGAACUCCCAUGUGUAGCGGUGGAAUGCGUAGAUAUAUGGAAGAACACCAGCGGCGAAGGCGGCUUACUGGACUGUAACUGACGUUGAGGCUCGAAAGUGUGGGUAGCAAACAGGAUUAGAUACCCUGGUAGUCCACACCGUAAACGAUGAACACUAGGUGUUAGGAGGUUUCCGCCUCUUAGUGCCGAAGCUAACGCAUUAAGUGUUCCGCCUGGGGAGUACGACCGCAAGGUUGAA
rnacentral:rRNA from 1 species